UAGUUUGAGGAGGAUUUUUUGGAAACAAGAGAGCAGUAUCUCAAGUUAAUUCAAGGUAAGACUUGAGUUUGCAUGCUUGGUCAAAGAGGAUGACCUUCCAGAUAGAAUGGCACCAUGCUUCGGUCAAGGGUAUAUGAUAGCUGUGCUUCCCUGCUAGAACCUCCAAACAAGCUCAAGAUCCAUUUAUAGCAAGACCACAGGCAUAUCUAAAUGAGAUCCUUCAUAUGGUAGUCUGCUUUUCUCU
rnacentral:snRNA from 1 species